rnacentral:misc_RNA from 1 species
GUCGUUUACUUGAUGACUAGUGUUUGGAUCUGUUGAGUGAUUACAGAAGGAAGCCAGGAAUAAAAUGUUUCCACAUUUAUCUGGAUGGCGAGUUAAUAUAGCUUUGCUUCAAGAGGCGGCAAGCAAACAGUUGGCUGAAUUGGUAGAAAAAUGCGAUGGGUCAAAGAUUAUUGUUUGGGGCGACGGUCUCUACGGUCCUGUCGGCCUAAUUGCGCAGCUGAGUUUCCUUAAAGAACGAAACGUUAUGAAAAAUCUUCCUUUGCAAGGCGGCGAACUACCAGACGUCGAUGUCAAGCAUGUAAUAUUCAUCACCCGCCCCAAUCUUAAAUGCAUGGAUAUGAUUGCAGAGAAUGUUCACAGCGAAUCACGACGCCGGAAAUUUGUCCAACGCGAUUUUCAUCUAUGCUUUUUACCACGAAAAUCGCUCCUAUGCGAACAACAUCUCAAACACAAAGGAGUGUUUGGGAGUUUUGCAUCAAUCGAGGAAUUUCCUUGUGAUUUCUUUCCUGUUGACAGUGAUUUAAUCUCAAUGGAACUUCCAGACGCUUAUAAAGAGUUGGUGAUAGAGGGUGAUCAGACUUGUCUAUUUCAAGCAGCUACCGGACUUGUGAACCUGCAAAAAAUUUACGGCAGGAUACCAAAAAUAUUUGGGAAAGGAAAUUUUGCAGCCAGAGUUUGGGAGCUUGCUAAAGGAAUGGGUCGCGAGGAACGUUCCAUGUUCAACUCGGAUAAAGGAGCAAUCGAUCAGAUGAUAAUCUUAGAUAGGUCGGUCGAUCUGAUGAGUGUUCUGGCGACUCAACUUACAUAUGAAGGACUUAUAGAUGAAAAUUUUGGGAUCAAACAAACAACAGUUCAGUUGCCAGCUGAUAAGUUUUCAAAAGGAAAUGAAGAACGUUUCCAACGAAUCUCAACGCCUGAAGUAAAAACAAUCAUACUGAACUCAGGUGAGGAAAUCUUUGCUGAGUUGCGAGAUAAAAACUUCAAUGAGGUUGGUAAAAUCCUGUCACGACAUGCGAAGGCAAUCAGUUCACAACUUGAAGAGCGGCAUAGUGAUAAGUCGGUUCAGGAAAUGAAAAAGUUUGUUGAACGUCUUCCUAACAUUCUCGGAAAGAAACAAUCAGUCGCCACGCAUACUACGAUUGCAGAGAUGAUAAAGGAGAUUACUGAGUCGAAUGAAUUUGGAGAUGACCUAGCUGCUGAACAAGAGUUUAUGAUGUGCUCGGAUAUCGAUAAGCCUAGCCCUUAUAUUGAAGAUUUAAUUGCGAAAAAGUGUGAUUUUCGAACUGUGAUAAGAUUAAUCUGCAUUCAGUGUAUUGCCGCGUCGGGGUUGAAACCAAAGAUUCUGGAUUAUUAUAAACGGGAAUUGGUGCAUGUCUAUGGAGUUGAAAGUCUGUUAACAAUAAGUAGUCUUGAGCGUGCUGGGAUCCUGAAAAUACCAACUGAAGCUCGACCUUACGCUGUAUUACGCAAGCGACUCAAUCUAACCGUUGACGAAGCCAUCGAAAUCUCCCCAAAAGAUAUCAGCUACGUUCAUAGUUUCUACGCUCCAUUAUCAAUACGAAUCAUCGAACAAAGUCUAAAACCAAACGGUUGGCAAAAUCUCAAAGGCGACCUAAAUAUUUUGCCAGGACCAAUGUUUGAAGAUUUUCAGGCACCACUGAUCGGUAUCGGCGGCAGACGUGCAUCAUUAACCAGUGAAAUUUCCUCAUCAGACAUUCCACGUGUGAUAUUAGUUUUCUUUUUAGGUGGUUGCACCUUUGCCGAAAUAUCUGCUUUAAGAUUUCUAGCUCAACAGGAGGAAUAUAAUGUUGAAUUUAUAAUUGCAACUACGAAAAUUAUGAAUAAAAAUUCAUUUUUAAGUUCGUUUCAUGAACUUUUGGGCAAUUGAAAGUGUCAGGCGUCUUAUGAUUUGACAUUGACACAAUUUAGUGCUGUUAAGAUAAUAGAUAAGUUUAUAAAUUGCGAAGAUGAAAGCAUGUUUCAUUUGCGUAUUAAUGAAGCCGAAACUAAGUAAUUAUAAUUGUUAUACGCGAAAAUUAUAUCCAGAUAUCUUUUAGAAUUUUAUUGUGUAAUAAAGCAUAAAUACAAGUUUUAUACAUCGUGUUGAAUAGUCAGAAAUUCUAUUGCAAGAUCAUUCUAACCACAAUCAAGCCCUAACAGAAACAUAGAAAUUCAUGCAUUUUCAUGGUGAAGGAUCUACGUAACGUUCAAUUGGAAACGUAAAUUUGAAUGAAUAGUGAGCAUUUUUUGAAAACACAUGGAAAAGGCAAGCCAACAGAAUAGAACUGGAUCCUGACUGUUCUCCAAAUAAGGAUGCAAGUAACAAAAAAUGAAGUAGACGCUAAGAAAUUAAAAGGUAAAUUAAAUCAGCCAUAUCGCUGAGCAAAAUAUCUAAAGUAGAAAAAAUGAUAUGCAAGUAUCUUAUUCAUUAAAAAGAGUCAUUUUUCCUAUAAAAACAAAUUUAAUUCGAAUGGUUCAAACUGUCCCCACUAAUGAAUAUUCAAACUUUUAAAAAAAUCAUUUUAUCGAUUGAUUUAAUUUGAUUUCUUAUACUAGUCAUUCACUCUAAAACUCUUUACUGGGGGUAAAUUUUUGAUUAUUAGAUUUAUUUAUUAAUUAUAGAUUGGACUAUGUAACUUUUUACUUGUUUUGCAUUUUCCUUUAAAUUUACUCUAAUGUAAAAACUUCGCCCACUUGAUAUGAAUAGAAUUACAUCAGAAAUAUGACGAAGCGAAGCAAUAUUUGAGCGCACAGCAUACAAUGUUUAUCGCACACAACGUGAAUAAUGCUUUCAUGAUUUUUCCUCGGGUAUACGCGUAUCUAUAUCUGUGCAUGAGCUCGAGUUGGAAGGCGACCGAUUUCAGUUGAAUAUAAUUCGUAGCCAUGUCGUGUUUUGCACGCUUUAUAAGCGGAGUCGACGGUGGACUCAGUAUCGCUUCUCGGCCUUAUGGCUAAGAUCAAAGUGUAGUAUCUGUUCUUAUCAGCUUAACAUCUGAUAGAUCCCCCAUAGGGGGACAACAAAUGUUAAACUGAUUUUUGGAAAUUGACGGAGUGCUAGGGGCUUGCUCCACCUCUGUCGCGGGUUGGCCCGGUAUUGCAGUACCGCCGGGAUCGGCCCAAAUUAA